rnacentral:lncRNA from 1 species
CCAUUCUACUGAAAUCUUUCUGGGCACGCUGGAUUUGGAAUGAACACAAAAAUGCAUCCUUCUUCUGGGACAGUCAGCUCGGAGUACACUGGGAUUCCCUAGUAGCAUUUCUCCCUGACCUGCAGAAUCUUACGACAAUUAAGGUGGGAGAUGUUAGGCACACUUCUUUUUGGCAUGAUCUUUGGUACCGGGAGAACACCAUGGCUGAAAAUUAUGGCCCCCUCUACUCGCACUCUGUGGACAAACAUGCUUCAGAAGUUGAGAAAUCAAUUUGUGUCAAGGCUCUCGAUGAUGGCCGAAGAUCAGUUGCUCCAACUAGGGCUUUUACUCCAAGAUCAGAUCUUGACAUCACAAUUAGAUAUCAGGGACAUGAAUGGAGCAACAGACUGAUCAGUGUUCAGAUCAACAUUUUGACUGUCAAGAACAUGGCGGAUUUGCUGCUCCCACUGCAAAUUCCGAUCAAACACUACUGGGUCUUCUUCCUUCUAUGCUUUUGGGGCCUUUGGAACCAUCGACAUGAUGUGGUACUCCGUGGAAAAAUAACAUAUCUUCGCAGGUUGAUCGUGAGGUGCAUCGACGACGCUACUCUUUGGACUGAGCGGCUAAUCGUGGAGGAUAUGAAUGUUUUUUCAGCUUGGAAAGAAAUCAUCUCUUCCUCCCUUUGA